UGCAGGUGCUCCUGUGGUAUCGCAGGGAGCACUAAUAAAGCACUAGUAAACUGCAGGUAACCAUGGCAGACCAAUGGGGCUGUGCACCUGUCUGCCAAGCCUCACAGUACCAGCCUCUCCCUCCCGAGGCCCAGCCCUGAACUGGUUCUGUCCCCUGAGUCCAAUCUGCCCCCCAACCUGCCCCUCGAGACGACCGACAGGUGAUUUAUAACAGGCCAAGAACGACAGCUUCGUCUCUUCCCUUCCAGUCCAUGUUCUGCCUUUCUCUUUCCUUGUCUUGUGUCCUUGGCUCAUGUCCCCUGGGCACCGUGAGGAAAUGGUGACACAGCCUUGCAUCCUUGACUUGUCCUGAUCCUGAGGCUGGAGCUUAAGAGGUGGUUGUUGGCUGCAGCAUGGGUGCGGGGAACUGACCCCAUGGUCAGUCUGCAGGGAUCGUCUUCUGCAAGAGCAUCCAGUACUUGUAACUGCUGAACCAUCUCUCCAGUCUCCAUUAAAGAUGGC